CACGGAGGGUGCGAGCGUUGUCCGGAAUCACUGGGCGUAAAGGGCGCGUAGGUGGCGCGGGCAGUCAACGGUGAAAGUUCGGGGCUCAACCCUGAAUCGGCCGUCGAUACUCCCGUGCUUGAGCACUGUAGAGGCAGAUGGAAUUCCGGGUGUAGCGGUGGAAUGCGUAGAGAUCCGGAAGAACACCGGUGGCGAAGGCGGUCUGCUGGGCAGUAGCUGACACUGAGGCGCGACAGCGUGGGGAGCAAACAGG
rnacentral:rRNA from 1 species